GUAGCGAUCAUUCUGGCUGCCGACUGUCGCGUAGUCCGUGCCCGUCUCCGAGUCGUAAAAACGCACGCGAUACAUGCGCUGCCGAAGCUCUUGCACGCGCCGUUCCAUCUGAUCACAAGUCGGAACAGGAAGAAGGCACGCACCAGAAAAAGACUGCAUGAAACACGGAGAGUCGGAUCCACCUCUCUAGUGGAGCCAUAAAUGCCGAGAACACUUCGAGUUGAAAAACAUCUGCGAAGCACGUAGGGAAACUCGCCCCUCCUCGCGACGUGACCAGCCAGCGUUCGUGUGAGUAUGCGAGUCCUACGGCACUUCUUGAGGUUAGCACCGGUGCCUAGAAAGAGUGUAAAACAGUCCGAGCAGAAAGCAAAUGUUGUCACGUCCUCGUCGCGCCGUGCCUCGGCCGGAAUCGGAUGAACCCGACACUGCAGUCUCCCAUCGCGACGCACAGCACAAGGAAGAACACACACCAUGACCGUUCAUGUACCGCAUCCGCACUCGCUCGUGUUCGAGUUCCCGAUUCUCAAGACACAUGAGUCGCCUUUGGGAGGGCCGGGCGUAUUUCUGUAUCUCCGUGUUCCUGCGUACGAAACGCAGCACAUAUGCCUAUAUAUAGCUCUGUCGUAGGUAACAUAAGACGCGAGCAGGAGCACCCCCGAGCUUAGUUGCGUGCACGGUUUCUGCCUUUUUAAGGAUUUUAGUCUCGGUGUAAAGCUGACUUUGGCAGGCUCCUGCGCGAGGCGGCUGGCGAGUCCUUUCUCAGCGCUGGCGCGGCUGCUGACGAAGCCCGUGAGGAGUUCGGCCUCGGAUUCCACUCCGAAGGCAACCAUGAUUUGUUUCAGUUCUGCGUCCCACGCACACUUGAGCUUGGCCACGAGACGGCGGAAGCGCGCGAGCGACUCAGGCAGGUUGCGGAGCAAGUCGAGGUCCAGGACGCGCUCUCUCAAGGCGCCGUUCGAGAAGACAAGUGUGGUGGGGAGAAGCGCGGGUGGGUACCCUAGGCUCUUCUCGAGGAAGGCGCGAAGCGCUGGCACCGAGGAGACACUCUGGCGAGAUGUGGCGUGCCACGAAGGGAGACACCGUCUUUCCAAAUCGUGGAAGAGAUCUCGAACACGAGACAGUUCCUGGUCGUGGGGGUCUGCUGCCUCGCUGAGUGCCUGGUCCAGCAAAGCCGAGGGGUAGCGCGUGUCGCUGGAAUCCUCGUCCUCCCCCUCCGAAAAAAAGCUGUCGAACCCCGGAUCGAAACCCUGUCCUUCAGCACCUCGACCAGGCGAGGCCAAAUCCGUCAGCGAAUUCCGCCCGCCGAGGCAGGGAGAAGAUACAGCUGAAAAAGAACCCGACGCUUGACGAAGGAGGUCUUGCUUGAUUGCUGGGUCGAGCGGAAAACAGGAGAACGGGGAAGAGCACUCGUCUGAGGCGCUGGACUCAAAAACGGCGGCUUCAGCGAGCGCGGAAAUCCCACAUGUGCUUUCCAGAGCAGAAGCACAGGGCGACUUCGGGGAUGCGGAAGAAAGACAAGCGGAAGGAGGACAAGCGGAAGGAGGACAAGCCGACGACGGACGAGACAAAGGUCUUGACGAGGCCUCCACCGACGUGGCGGCAUUUCCACUGGAACGACCUGCACGAGCGGAGGCGGCGAGAAAGGAAGCACCGACAUCGUGCGACGUACCCGAUGCACAGGAACCUGAGCGGAAGGCAGGCAGAGAAGAAAACUCGGUCGAGAGGAAACGACGGAGAGGAAAGGGAGAAGAACACGAUACCCGCAGGAGACACCACCAGAAAAGAGUGGGAUCGAGAGACAGAGGCGAGGGGAAAGGCGCAUUAAGCGGGAGGGGCAACCCAGACCCCGGUCUCGAUCGGCGUAGCGACAUCGCUGCCAUCCAGGACGUCCAGCGACCAGUUGGAUGAAAACUUGUGUCGCCUCCGGGACCGUCCACGUUUUGCAUCUGGUGCAUCUCGCCGUACCAAAGGACAUCCGCAGCUGUGCGUUUGAAGGUGAAACCAGGGAAACGGACUCCAAGAAAUGAACGCGAAGAUCUCCCUUUCUGUCUACGUGUACAGCCAGCAACGUAUGCACACACACAGAGUGAACGCUACGUCCUUUCGAGCUUUGCUGCAAAUAUGAAAUCGUAC
rnacentral:lncRNA from 1 species